ensembl:lncRNA
GGAAUGAUUGACAGGUCCUAUGGAGGAGGCAGCAGAGACUCUGUUCUCCUCCUUUGGAUUAAUUCUGAUAUAAUAACUGUUGGUUUAUUUAUCGGUGGAGCAGCAGAACAUUUUCCACAGACAGUUUUCCUGCCCGUUGGCUUGUUUUAACCAGUUUUCUACCUUCGGCUGAUUCUAUCAACAGACACUGAAAGGACUCUGAUAGUUCGAGUGAAAGCAGCAACUCCUUAAGGUCAGAGAUUGCAGCAUCUGAGGGCCUCUUCAAAAGAAGAUGUAGUUGAUGAAGGCGUUCUGGAGCAGGACCAGAAAGACCACGACCAAGCAGCCUUGAGAUCUUAGGCAGCAUCUCCCUGAGGUCCCUCUCUAUCUCCCUACACAUCCACCAACCACUGGAACACAUCUCCAAAGUUCUGCCGGGCCAGCUCAGCUUCCCCUCAGAAGAAGUUCCACCAGAUGAAGGAGCCUUUUGAGAGGCAGCUGGCAUCGUGAUUGGACUGUACUUUGGUCUGUUCCAAUCCAGCUUCAGCUCCAGAGACGGCAGGCGGGACGAGUCAACGGAGGCCAGAAACUCGGGAAAACCCGUGGAGACUCGAAGAACUCGUGGAGACUCGAAAAACUCGUCGGGCG